rnacentral:tRNA from 1 species
GCCUGGCUGGCUCAGUCUGUGGAGCGUGGGACUCUUGGUCUCAGGGUUGUGAGUUCGAGUCUCACGUUGGGUG